rnacentral:rRNA from 1 species
AUUGAACGCUGGCGGCAGGCCUAACACAUGCAAGUCGAGCGAGCGGCGGACGGGUGAGUAAUGUCUGGGAAACUGCCUGAUGGAGGGGGAUAACUACUGGAACCGGUAGCUAAUACCGCAUACCAUCAGAUGUGCCCAGCUGGGAUUAGCUAGUAGGUGGGGUAAUGGCUCACCUAGGCGACGAUCCCUAGCUGGUCUGAGAGGAUGACCAGCCCAACGGGAACUGAGACACGGUCCAGACUCCUACGGGAGGCAGCAGGGGGGAAUAUUGCACAAUGGGCGAAAGCCUGAUGCAGCCAUGCCGCGUGUGGGAAGAAGGCCUUGGGGUUGUAAAGCACUUUCAGAGAGGAGGCGUUACUCGCAGAAGAAGCACCGGCUAACUCCGUGCCAGCAGCCGCGUUAAUAC